UACGUAGGGUGCGAGCGUUGUCCGGAAUUAUUGGGCGUAAAGGGCUCGUAGGCGGUUUGUCGCGUCGGGAGUGAAAACCUUGGGCUUAACUCAGGGCUUGCUUUCGAUACGGGCAGACUAGAGGUAUGCAGGGGAGAACGGAAUUCCUGGUGUAGCGGUGAAAUGCGCAGAUAUCAGGAGGAACACCGGUGGCGAAGGCGGAUCUCUGGGCCUUACCUGACGCUGAGGCGCGAAAGCUAGGGGAGCAAACGGG
rnacentral:rRNA from 1 species